ACACGUAGGGGGCGAGCGUUGUUCGGAAUCAUUGGGCGUAAAGGGCGUGCAGGCGGUCCUGCAAGUCCGGCGUGAAAGACCCCGGCCCAACCGGGGGGACGCGCUGGAAACUGCGGGGCUUGAGUACAGGAGGGGAUGCCGGAAUUCAAGGAGUAGGGGUGAAAUCUGUAGAUAUCUGGAAGAACACCAAUGGCGAAGGCAGGCAUCUGGCCAUGUGCUGACGCUGAGACGCGAAGGUGCGGGGAGCAAACAGGUUUAGAUACCCUGGUAGUCUGCACAGUAAACGAUGUGCACCAGGUGGCGGGGGGUCGACCCUCGGUACCGUAGCUAACGCAUUAAGUGCACCGCCUGGGGAGUAUGCUCGCAAGGGUGAAACUCAAAGGAAUUGACGGGG
rnacentral:rRNA from 1 species